rnacentral:rRNA from 1 species
GACGAACGCUGGCGGCGUGCCUAAUACAUGCAAGUCGAGCGAAUCGAUGGGAGCUUGCUCCUUGAGAUUAGCGGCGGACGGGUGAGUAACACGUGGGUAACCUGCCUGUGAGAUUGGGAUAACUCCGGGAAACCGGAGCUAAUACCGGAUAACAUUUUGAACCGCAUGGUUCAAAAUUGAAAGAUGGUUUCGGCUAUCAC